rnacentral:rRNA from 1 species
AGUGAACGCUGGCGGUAGGCCUAACACAUGCAAGUCGAACGGCAGCACAGUAAGAGCUUGCUCUUACGGGUGGCGAGUGGCGGACGGGUGAGGAAUACAUCGGAAUCUACUUUUUCGUGGGGGAUAACGUAGGGAAACUUACGCUAAUACCGCAUACGACCUACGGGUGAAAGCAUUGGAUCUUCGGACCUUUCGCGUUUGAAUUCGCCGAUGUCGGAUUAGCUAGUUGGCUGGGUAAAGGCCCACCAAGGCGACGAUCCGUAGCUGGUCUGAGAGGAUGAUCAGACACACUGGAACUGAGACACGGUCAAGAAGACUACGGGAGGAAGCAGUGGGGAAUAUUGGACAAUGGGCGCAAGCAUGAUCCAGCAAUACCGCGUGGGUGAAGAAGGCAUUCGGGUUGUAAAGCACUUUUGUUGGGAAAGAAAAGAAGCAGGUUAAUACCCCGCUGUUCUGACGGUACCCAAAGAAUAAGCACCGGCUAACUUCGUG